rnacentral:lncRNA from 1 species
AUGGUCAAUGUACCUAAAACCCGAAGAGCCUUCGGUAAGAAGUGUGGCAAGCAUCAGCCUCACAAAGUGACACAGUAUAAGAAGAGCAAGGAUUCCUUGUAUGCCCAGGGAAAGAGGUGCUAUGAUCGGAAGCAGAGUAGCCAUGGUGGGCAGACAUAGCCAAUUUUCUGGAAGAAGGCUAAGACCACAAAGAAGGUUGUGCUAAGGCUGGAAUGUGUUGAGCCUAACUGCAGAUCCAAGAGGAUGCUGGCCAUUAAGAGAUGCAAGCAUUUUGAACUGGAAGGAGAUAAGAGAAAGGGCCAAGUGAUCCAGUUCUAA